AGCAGCCGCGGUAAUUCCAGCUCCAAUAGCGUAUAUUAAAGUUGUUGCAGUUAAAAAGCUCGUAGUUGAAUUUCGGGGUUAGUAAGUUGGUCGUGCCUUUGGUAUGCACUGGCUUUGCUGAUUCCUCCUUCUUGAAGAACUGUGAUGCUAUUAAUUUGGUGUUGCAGGGAAACAGGACUGUUACUUUGAAAAAUUAGAGUGUUUAAAGCAGGCUAACGCUUGAAUACAUUAGCAUGGAAUAAUGAAAUAGGACGUUUGAUCCUAUUUUGUUGGUUUCUAGGAUUGACGUAAUGAUUAAUAGGGAUAGUUGGGGGCAUUAGUAUUCAAUUGUCAGAGGUGAAAUUCUUGGAUUUAUUGAAGACUAACUACUGCGAAAGCAUUUGCCAAGGAUGUUUUCAUUAAUCAAGAACGAAAGUUAGGGGAUCGAAGACGAUCAGAUACCGUCGUAGUCUUAACCAUAAACUAUGCCGACUAGGGAUCGGAUGAUGUUAAUUUUUAAUGACUCAUUCG
rnacentral:rRNA from 1 species